CCCCGGUAAACGGCGGCCGUAACUAUAACGGUCCUAAGGUAGCGAAAUUCCUUGUCGGGUAAGUUCCGACCUGCACGAAUGGCGUAAUGAUGGCCACGCUGUCUCCACCCGAGACUCAGUGAAAUUGAAAUCGCUGUGAAGAUGCAGUGUACCCGCGGCUAGACGGAAAGACCCCGUGAACCUUUACUACAGCUUGGCACUGAACAUUGACCCUACAUGUGUAGGAUAGGUGGGAGGCUUUGAAGCACGUACGCCAGUAUGUGUGGAGCCGUCCUUGAAAUACCACCCUUGUAGUGUUGAUGUUCUAACGUCGACCCCUUAUCGGGGUUGCGGACAGUGCCUGGUGGGUAGUUUGACUGGGGCGGUCUCCUCCCAAAGAGUAACGGAGGAGCACGAAGGUGGGCUAAUCACGGUUGGACAUCGUGAGGUUAGUGCAAUGGCAUAAGCCCGCUUGACUGCGAGAAUGACAAUUCGAGCAGGUGCGAAAGCAGGUCAUAGUGAUCCGGUGGUUCUGAAUGGAAGGGCCAUCGCUCAACGGAUAAAAGGUACUCCGGGGAUAACAGGCUGAUACCGCCCAAGAGUUCAUAUCGACGGCGGUGUUUGGCACCUCGAUGUCGGCUCAUCACAUCCUGGGGCUGAAGUCGGUCCCAAGGGUAUGGCUGUUCGCCAUUUAAAGUGGUACGCGAGCUGGGUUUAGAACGUCGUGAGACAGUUCGGUCCCUAUCUGCCGUGGGCGUUGGAAGAUUGAAGGGGGCUGCUCCUAGUACGAGAGGACCGGAGUGGACGAACCUCUGGUGUUCGGGUUGUGUCGCCAGACGCAUUGCCCGGUAGCUAAGUUCGGAAUCGAUAACCGCUGAAAGCAUCUAAGCGGGAAGCGAGCCCUGAGAUGAGUCUUCCCUGAUACUUUAAGUAUCCUAAAGGGUUGUCGGAGACUACGACGUUGAUAGGUCAGGUGUGUAAGUGCUGUGAGGCAUUGAGCUAACUGAUACUAAUUGCCCGUGAGGCUUAACCAUACAACACCCAAGGGGUUU
rnacentral:rRNA from 1 species